rnacentral:lncRNA from 1 species
GGUUGGAACCAGCCCUGGGCAGGAUGUCAUCCCAUUGCAGGGGGCACCUAUACCCACCCACGCUUACACUCCCUCACACUGGUGAGAGGUGAAGCCGGCUGGGCUUCUGGGUCGGGUGGGGACUUGGAGAGCUUUUCGGUCUAGCUAAAGGAUUGUAAACACACCAAUCAGCACUCUGUGUCUAGCUAAAGGUUUGUAAACAGCACCAAUUAGCACUCUGUAAAAACGCACCAAUCAGCGCUCUGUGUCUAGCUAAAGGUUUGUAAAGACACCAGUCAGCCCUCAGUAAAAAUGGACCAAUCAGCACUCUGUAAAAUGGACAAAUCAGCGCUCUGUAAAAUGGACAACUCAGCAGGAUGUGGGCGGGGCCAAAUAAGGAAAUAAAAGGUGGACACCCCGGCUAGCAGCAGCAACUUGCUUUGGGUCCGUUUCCACGCUUUGGUCUUUCUCUCUUGGCAGUAAAUCUUGCUGCUCCUCACUUUUUGGGUUAGUACUACGUUUAUGAGCUGUCACACUCACCGGGAAGGUCUACAGCUUCACUCCUGAAGCCAGUGAGACCGUUAACCCACCAGGAGGAACGGGCAACUCAGACCGCGCCACCUUUAAGAGCUGUAACACUCACCGCGAAGGUCUGCGGCUUCACUCCAGAAGUCAGCGAGACCACGAAUCCUGCGGGAGGAACGAACUCCGACCGCGCCACCUUUAAGAGCUGUAACACUCACUGCGAAGGUCUGUGGCUUCACUCUUGAAGUCAGCAAGACCACGAACCCACCAGAAGGAAGAAACUCCGGACACAUCUGAACAUCUGAAGGAACUCGGGACACGCCAUCUUUAAGAACUGUUAACACUCACUGCGGGGGUCUGCGGCUUCAUUCCUGACGUCAGCGAGACCAAGAACCCACCGGAAGGAACCAGUUCCAGACAUACUGGGACCGUGUGGAUACGUCGGUAAACCUGACAUGCACAUCUUUAGGAGAUAGCUGGAGAAAACCCAUGCAGAUUGUGGGUUUAUCCCCAGCUGGGGAUAGAUUUUUUUUCCCCAUCAAUAUUGUAAAGAAAACUGAAUGAAUUAGUUAUUCAAGAACCAGCUGUACCUCUUACAUAGGGUUGUCCCGAGGGCUAUGAGAGAUCAUGUUUGUAAAGUGCCCAAGAAGCAGUGGCUACUAUUAUUACUAACUUGCUUUUUCUGUGCAGUAACUUUAUAAGAUAAAUUUUGCCACAGUUUUAUAGAUGAAGAGACUGAGGCAAAUGGAGGUCCCUUAAUUUACCAGAAGUCUUCUACCUUAAGAAAGACAAGACUCGGAUUCUAAUUUAAGUCAUUUUGAUACAUUCUACUCUCCCCACCACAGCAUAUUAAAUGUAAUGCACACUCAAAAAUACUGGGUUUUUUUUUUGUUUUUUUUUUUUGAGACAGAGUUUCGCACUUUUUGCCCAGGCUGGAGUGCAAUGGCGCGACCUUGGCUCCACCUCUUGGGUUCAAAUGAUUCUCCUGCCUCAGCCUUCUGAGUAGCUGGGAUUACAGGCAUGCAUCAGCACGCCUGGCUAAUUUUGUAUUUUUAGUAGAGAUGGGGUUUCUCCAUGUUGCUCAGGCUGGUCUCGAACUCCUGACUUCAGGUGAUCCUCCCACCUAGGCCUCCCAGAGUGUUGGGAUUAUAGGUGUGAGCCACUGCGCCUGGCCUGGAUUUCUCUAUUUGUUUAUGCGAAAUCGUCUACUGGCAUUACCAUCUCUCAAAACAUUUUCCUGGACUUUUAACUAAAGAUUUUUUCCAUUGUAAUGGGCACAAGUGCAAUUUCCCUUUCAUUUUAAGAGACUGUGAGAAGUAACAAAUCAGGUGAUGGUCUUGUUUUCCCAAGCUGCUACAGAGCUUCUGCAGCUCCAAGCAUGACCACUAUAUUUGGCUGCUUAAAAGCAUAACAAGGGCAGAAAUCAUAAAGGCUUUGCCCAGAGGGCCUUGAUUGUCCUUGCCUUCUUGUCCUUUGGUGAGAACUUCAUUGGUGGUGGCUCCAAAAAUCAGGAGACUUUCUGUGAUGAAUUCACCAUAAGAACGUGGGACCCAGCCUCCCUUGAAGGACGUCCUAUAUGAUGCCUGUUUCCAAGGGAAGAAGUAAAGUCAAGAAACAAGAUAUCCUCAAGCUACUCUUAGGAUCAGUGUCUGCAUAGAUCUGGCACACAGAAAUGCAAGGAAACAAUUUGUGCAAAGCAUUAAAAAAAAAAGGGGGGACCCUGAGAGUAUAACAAGUGCUCCUGAGAGAGGACAGACGGAGAGGACGCAUGGGCAGGGAUGGCCGCCCUGAGCAGCUGAUGUUCGAGCUAAGAUCUGAAAGGUGCAUGAUUUCCCACUUACCUCCCGCAACCACUACCACCCACGUUGUCCACAGUAUUCAGCUGUCUCAGGGAGGAUCACAAUUAUUCUAAUGGGACUGCAAAGAGUGAAGGACACAGCUUUUAACAUCAGAUUCGAAUCCUACAAUUUGGAACCCAUGGGCACUUCUAGAUUGGAUCUUGCAGAGAUUUUUUACAACAGAAAUAAUGGAAAGGCAAAAGAAAACAUUGAGUAAUAACCAACCCAAGCAAGUCCAGCCUCUUUCUGCAGAAGAUAAUCAGGAUGACUCCACCUUUGUACCUGACUGAGGAACUUAGUGAACCCUGAAGAAAUGAUGAUUAAAGAGACAAUGAAGAGGCCAGGCGCAGUGGCUCAUGCCUGUAAUCCCAGCACUUUGGGAGGCCGAGGUAGGCGGAUCAUGAGGUCAGGAAAUCGAGACCAUCCUGGCUAACAUGGUGAAACUCUAUCUCUACUAAAAAUACAAAAAAUAAGCUGGGUGUGGUGGCACGUGCCUGUAAUCCCAGCUACUCAGGAAGCUGAGACAGGAGAAUCGCUUGAACCCAGGAGGUGGAGGUUGCAGUGAGCCGAAGUCGUGCCGUUGCACUCCAGUCCGGGUGACAGAGUGAGACUCUGUCUCAAAAAAAAAAAAAAAAAAAAAGGACAAUGAAGACAGGAGACAUUGGGCUGUGCCCUUCUAGAUAUGACAGGGAGCAAAUAAGCCAACUCCAGGUCAGUAUAAAAUCCUAGGUGAUCAUUAAAAUCACUUAAAUAAGCCAACUCCAGGUCAGCAUAAAAUCCUAGGCGAUCAUUAAAAUCACUUAAAAUUAAAAUCCUAGGUGAUCAUUAAAACCACUUCAAAAAGACAUGUUUUGGGAGCUAUGUGUUCAGGGAAACAGAGGAGAAAACAACUGGGACUCUAUGAGGUGCCAGGUUUGAAGCUGUAUGGAUGUGACUGAUGUCAGGUUUUCAUGAGCCCAGUGGAAAAUUUAGAGGCAGUAAACUGGGCAACUGGGGCUGUUGGUGCUUGAGUAAUGCUUGGGCAUCAAGAUCUCCAAACUGUGUGGCCGCACCUGUGGUCCUAGCUACUCAGGAGGCUGAGGUGGGAGGAUAGUUGGAGCCUGGGAGAUUGAGGCUGCAGUGAGCUGUGAUGGUGCCACUGUACUCUAGCCUGGGUGACAGAGCGAGACUUGUCUCAAAAAAAAAAAAAUCUCCAAACUGGACUCUCUCUCACUAGGGAUUUGUCUCUUUCUCCUCUCCUUCUCUUCCUUCCUAAUUAUCUCCUUUUCUUUAUUCACAAUAUAUAUAUCCUCAACUAUGGAUAAGUGUGCUUAUACUCAGCUAUAUUUUCUUUUUUUCCAGCUAUAUUGAUGUAUAAUUGACAAAUAAAAAUUAGAUAUUGUUAAGGUGUACAACAUAGUGCUUGACAGAUAUAUACAUUGUGAAAUAAUUACCACAACCAAGCAAGCUAGUUAACAUAUCCAUCACCUCAUGUAGUUACUUUUUUGGGUUUUUUUUUUUUUGGUGUGGUGAGAACACUGAAAAUCAACUCUCUUAGCAAAUUUUGAGUAUUCAAUGAAGUAUACUUGAAUAACACUGUAUACAAAUUCAAGUAUAAAUUCAAGUAUACAAUGCUAUUAGCUAUAGUCAUCCUGCUAUAUAUUAGUUCUCCAGAACCUACUCAUCAUAUAAGUUAACGUUUGUACCCUUUGCCCAAGACCGCCCCACUUCCUCCUCCCACCAGCUGCUGGUAACAACCAUUCUACUCUCUGUUUCUAUGAGUUUGACUUUUUUAGGUUUUGCAUAGAAGUGACAUCAUGCAGUAUUUAUCUUUCUGUGUCUGGCUUGUUUCAUUUAGCAUAACGUCUUGCAGGUUCAUUCAUGUUGUCGCAAAUGGCAGGAUUUCCUUAUUUUUAAAGGCUGAAUAUUCCAUUGUGUGUGAAAAUAUAUGAUAUCAACUGUAUUUUCAUAUAUGUGUCUAACUGGAUGGCCUCUUAAUAAACUUUAAAGGAUUAAAGAUUGUCAUUAGAGAAUUCUAAAUAAGGUGGUUUUAGGUUCAUAUUAUACAAUACAUGUAAUGUGCAUGCAUUAUGUCGACUCUUAUUAAAUUCUAAGUCCUACUCAAUAGUGUUGAGAGCAUUAAUGCACCCAAGAAUUUUGUUUUUUUAUUUAACUUAGUGAGAAAAUAUAACUUAAUAUAUAGCAAUUCACUUAGAUUGAUAUAGAAGUAAUUAACACCACAUUCUUAUUAAUAGAUUUCU